rnacentral:lncRNA from 1 species
CCAAUUUUAAACAGUCACUGAAAAUGUAUGUAACAAUUAGUCUUCAAUUUCCAAUAUGCAGUGCUGCUUUACUGUGCUUUAAAUGAGCAUAAUCCUCCGUGUGACUUUUUGAAAGCAUUUAACUGCUGCCUUGACUGGCUAGAGAAGAAACACCCACUUACUGGGCAAACAGGUCAAAAAAAGUAGAUUUUUUUUUUCUUUUGCUCUACUCUAAGCAAAGAGAAAAUACCAGGAAAUAGCUAGGUCUCAAACCACCUAUUAUGCUUUGACAAUUUAGUUAUGGCUUUGAAAAAUUUAGAUUCCCAAUCCCCCCACCCAAUUUAGAUCUCUGCUAGCAGAAGUUCCACCAUCCUACAGCUCUCAUCCAUCUCAGCCCUCAAGUUCUUGCAGUUGAAGGAUUUAUGUCAGUUGGAAAUGUUGCUCCUCUUUUGUCAUUUGUCGGAAGGCUGUUUAUUUCCUGUUGAGUAGACCAGAGUUGGAGGCAUGCCUCAGACAUUGCAUCAAGAGGACCUAGAAGUCAUCGAACUCCAUGGGAUUCACUGGUAGAAUACCAACUUGAAGAGGCAGAAACAAAAAAAAACAGAAUAAACUCUUGGACAGAAUUGGUCCCUCGGGUUCACUAGGGACCAAUU